AGAGUUUGAUCCUGGCUCAGGAUGAACGCUAGCGAUAGGCUUAACACAUGCAAGUCGAGGGGCAGCAUUAUUUUAGCUUGCUAAGAUAGAUGGCGACCGGCGCACGGGUGCGUAACGCGUAUGCAACCUGCCUGUAAUUAGGGAAUAACCCGGUGAAAGUCGGACUAAUACCCUAUAUUCUUCUUUCUCCGCAUGGAGAGGGAUGGAAAGAUUUAUUGAUUACAGAUGGGCAUGCGUCCCAUUAGCUAGUUGGUAAGGUAACGGCUUACCAAGGCAACGAUGGGUAGGGGGACUGAGAGGUUGACCCCCCACACUGGUACUGAGACACGGACCAGACUCCUACGGGAGGCAGCAGUGAGGAAUAUUGGUCAAUGGGCGAGAGCCUGAACCAGCCAAGUCGCGUGAAGGACGACGGUUCUAUGGAUUGUAAACUUCUUUUGUAGAGGAAUAAUGGCAGCUACGUGUAGCUGAGAUGCAUGUACUCUACGAAUAAGUAUCGGCUAACUCCGUGCCAGCAGCCGCGGUAAUACGGAGGAUACGAGCGUUAUCCGGAAUUAUUGGGUUUAAAGGGUGCGUAGGUGGCGUAUUAAGUCAGUGGUGAAAAGCUGCAGCUCAACUGUAGUCUUGCCGUUGAAACUGAUAUGCUAGAGAGGAGACGAGGUAUGCGGAAUGUGUGGUGUAGCGGUGAAAUGCAUAGAUAUCACACAGAACGCCGAUUGCGAAGGCAGCGUACCAGGCUCCGUCUGACACUGAAGCACGAAAGCGUGGGGAUCAAACAGGAUUAGAUACCCUGGUAGUCCACGCAGUAAACGAUGAAUACUAGAUUUUUGCGAUAUACUGUAAGAGUCUAAGCGAAAGCGAUAAGUAUUCCACCUGGGGAGUACGCCGGCAACGGUGAAACUCAAAGGAAUUGACGGGGGCCCG
rnacentral:rRNA from 2 species